AUGUGCUAUAAGGCCUGGUCCGCCUUCUCCGCUGAUCCAGACUACUGCAAGAAGCUGCCCAAAAAAGUAACCACUGGCCUUUUGUACCAAGGCCACAAUAAGUCUGCAAUCCCGCUUGUUAGCCUGUCCCAAGAUGAUGGAGAAAUCGAUGGAAUUCUUUCUGACAUGCCACAGUAUGAGCAUUUGGAAUUUCUUGACUGCUGCAAUGGUCUUGUCCUCUGUAAGUACAGGAGCAGCUAUACCUCUCCAGGCAUUUGUCGCUUUGUUGUGUGCAACCCAGCAACACGAGAGUGGAGGAUACUUCCUGACACUCAUGCUGGAACUGAUAGCCGUCGUGAUGCAACUAUUUUGGCAUUUGAUCCUUCAUGGUCACCACACUUCUAUGUCUUCAACUUUAAUCAGCAUUACCACAGUCCGAUGAGCAAACUUGAGAUCUUUUCUUCUGAUGGGUCCAUGUGGCUUGUGGAUGAUAAAUGGGAUUCUUAUGUAAGUGUUUGUUGGAGAUCUCACAUAUUUCUUGAUGGAGUGUUGUAUGCGGAGACUACUGGACAAGACGUUUUGGUGUUUGGAGCCUUGGGGUCAAUGAGUAAUGGCAAACUGCCCUAUCAUCAGAUCAUUGAGAAGCCAUCUGACACUUUUUAUGUGGGUACUUUUACCCAUGGUUGCUUUGGCAAAUCUUUAGGGAACUUGCACUACGCGAUGCCAGAUGUGAGUGGUCACUCAAUCGUGAUUUGGACUCUAGAUGAAUAUGCUCAUGAUCCAGGGACUUGGUAUGUGAAGUGUCAUAUUAGUAUGACAGAUGCAUUUGGAAGGGAUGACUUUGUUUACUAUGACAAUGGUGGUGAUGGUGGUGACAGCCACUGGUUUUGGAACUGUGAUUACUGGAUUCUCGCUCUCGAUUUGGAGAGAGACCUUGUUUUCCUCUCUGACCAGAAGACAAAUAAAGUUCUUUCUUACAACAUCAGCACUGGGGAACUCAAGGAGAUACGAGACCACUUUGAGCGGUUUCAAUACCAUGUCUAUGUACCAUGCUACUCAAAACUUCCAGCUCAAGAAUCUUCUGUGUAG
rnacentral:rRNA from 1 species